GUGCUAGCUUUGGCAGCACAUAUGCUAAAAUUGGAAUGAUGCAGAGAAGAUUAACAUGGCCCUGUACAGGAUGACAUGUACAUUUGUGAAGGAUUCCAUAUUUUU
ensembl:snRNA U6 U6 spliceosomal RNA